rnacentral:rRNA from 1 species
AACGAACGCUGGCGGCAGGCUUAACACAUGCAAGUCGAACGCCCCGCAAGGGGAGUGGCAGACGGGUGAGUAACGCGUGGGAACAUACCCUUUUCUACGGAGUAGCUCCGGGAAACUGGAAUUAAUACCGUAUACGCCCUACGGGGGAAAGAUUUAUCGGGGAAGGAUUGGCCCGCGUUGGAUUAGCUAGUUGGUGGGGUAAAGGCCUACCAAGGCGACGAUCCAUAGCUGGUCUGAGAGGAUGAUCAGCCACAUUGGGACUGAGACACGGCCCAAACUCCUACGGGAGGCAGCAGUGGGGAAUAUUGGACAAUGGGCGCAAGCCUGAUCCAGCCAUGCCGCGUGAGUGAUGAAGGCCUUAGGGUUGUAAAGCUCUUUCACCGAUGAAGAUAAUGACGGUAGUCGGAGAAGAAGCCCCGGCUAACUUCGUGCCAGCAGCCGCCGUAAUAC